rnacentral:rRNA from 1 species
UGGGGAAUAUUGGACAAUGGGGGCAACCCUGAUCCAGCCAUGCCGCGUGAGUGAUGAAGGGCCUUAGGGUUGUAAAGCUCUUUCACCCGGGACGAUAAUGACGGUACCGGGAGAAGAAGCCCCGGCUAACUUCGUGCCAGCAGCCGCGGUAAUACGAAGGGGGCUAGCGUUGUUCGGAAUCACUGGGCGUAAAGCGCACGUAGGCGGACCGUUAAGUCGGAGGUGAAAUCCUGGGGCUCAACCCCAGAACUGCCUUCGAUACUGGCGGUCUCGAGUCCGGAAGAGGUGAGUGGAACUGCCAGUGUAGAGGUGAAAUUCGUAGAUAUUGGCAAGAACACCAGUGGCGAAGGCGGCUCACUGGUCCGGUACUGACGCUGAGGUGCGAAAGCGU